UAAUACAGAGGGUGCGAGCGUUGUCCGGAAUCACUGGGCGUAAAGGGCGCGUAGGCGGCCUGGCAAGUCUGUGGUGAAAGCUCGCGGCUCAACUGCGAGUCGGCCACGGAUACUGCGAGGCUCGAGUCUGGUAGAGGCUCAUGGAAUUCCGGGUGUAGCGGUGGAAUGCGUAGAGAUCCGGAAGAACACCGGUGGCGAAGGCGGUGAGCUGGGCCAGAACUGACGCUGAGGCGCGACAGCGUGGGGAGCAAACAGGAUUAGAUACCCUGGUAGUCCACGCCGUAAACGAUGGGCACUAGGUGCUUGGGGGAGCGACCCCUUGAGUGCCGGCGCUAACGCAUUAAGUGCCCCGCCUGGGGAGUACGGCCGCAAGGCUG
rnacentral:rRNA from 1 species